GGCUUGUUCGUGUUGUGUCUCGUUCGUCCGGUCGCUCCUCCUUUCGGUGGUGGCGUCGGCUCGUCGGAUGUUUCUCGGGCAGCGUUGGGACGACGCAUGAGUGGCUAUCAGGAUAUGAUCCCAAAGCAGGCUCCAUGCUUCUCGCAUCGAACUGCUUUGUUCUAUCCGUCUCAUUUGUUCGCUCGCCCCGUCGCCCACAGGGUCGGUCGCGAGUGAUGUUUGGGUUCCUGCGCUUGAUACCGGAUUGCGGUACUCGGAUUCACUGAUGUCCACGUCUUGGUUCCCUUGUUUCUCCUUCGCCUCCUGUGCGUUGGUGGAUAUCGUGCGGGCAUCGGCGCUUUCCGCUUGUCGGUCGCCCUCCUUUGGGCGUUUCCGCUAGUGUCGGCGCGUCGAUGCCGUCGCGUGCUCUCGGGUACGGUGAUUUCUCUUGUUGUCGCGCGGUCAUUUCUUGGCCGUCGCGAUCUCGACGUGCGAAGCUUCCAUGCUUCCCGCUCGGGUGACCCUCGUGUUUCCCAUGGAGCUCACGGAGCGUCCCCGCUCCGCGUUCGUCCUUGGGAGGCAUCGAGGUCUACAAAGGAAUGCUACCUGGUUGAU
rnacentral:misc_RNA from 1 species